GUCUUACUUCCACGCCUCCCCACCCUGAUGGGUAUGCGGCCGCCGAGAAUCCGAGAAACGAAGCUACAAAAAGAGUACAAGAUAGAAGGGGAGAAAACCGGGGAACCCGGUGACAAACCUGCUCGGAGAAAAAGCAAGAACCAAUAAAAUCGCUUCAGAACAGGACGCCGAAACCUGGAACUUAAGCUGUGAGGUGUACGAGUAUAAUACGACAGUACGAGCAACCUUCUGCAGUACCACACAGGCACCCCUCCCCGAGGAAGUGAUGAAGAAGAUCUUCAUAGAAAAACAAGUUCUCGGGUAAAAAGUCGUGUGUGAAAGUCGGCACUUUAACAUAAAAGUCUUAUGUAUGCAACGCUUAAUGAUUGUAAAAGUGGUGGUGCAAUGUUAAAUGUUACCAAGGAAAGGCGCCUUAAUGAAAGUCUUAUGUAGGCAACGAAUUGAUGCUCAAUACGAUUGUAAAAGUCGUGUUGCAAUGUUAAAAGUUACCAAGGAAAGGCGCUUUAACAUUGAGCAUCAAUUGGUUGUGUAGGCAACGAAUUGAUGCUCAAUACUAUUGUUUCGUGUCCGAAUGUUGAAAGCAUUUCGCAUUCCGUCUUUUAAGUUUCUUUUUUUAUUUAUUUUGGAUUUGAGGUAUCCAACAAUUGAACUUCGUUAUGGUCUUCAAU